rnacentral:rRNA from 1 species
GAUGAACGCUGGCGGCGUGCCUAAUACAUGCAAGUCGAGCGAACGGACGAGAAGCUUGCUUCUCUGAUGUUAGCGGCGGACGGGUGAGUAACACGUGGAUAACCUACCUAUAAGACUGGGAUAACUUCGGGAAACCGGAGCUAAUACCGGAUAAUAUUUUGAACCGCAUGGUUCAAAAGUAAAAGACGGUCUUGCUGUCACUUAUAGAUGGAUCCGCGCUGCAUUAGCUAGUUGGUAAGGUAACGGCUUACCAAGGCAACGAUGCAUAGCCGACCUGAGAGGGUGAUCGGCCACACUGGAACUGAGACACGGUCCAGACUCCUACGGGAGGCAGCAGUAGGGAAUCUUCCGCAAUGGGCGAAAGCCUGACGGAGCAACGCCGCGUGAGUGAUGAAGGUCUUCGGAUCGUAAAACUCUGUUAUUAGGGAAGAACAUAUGUGUAAGCAACUGUGCACAUCUUGACGGUACCUAAUCAGAAAGCCACGGCUAACUACGUG